rnacentral:lncRNA from 1 species
UUAUGAAAAAACAAAGAAUAAAUUGUUAAAUUCAAACGACUAUUUUUCAUAUUCAUAAUUUCUAAUGAUCAAUUUACAUUGGUAAUGAAAAGAAAUAAGUUAAUAAAAAUUAAGAGACACUCUAAAAUUCCUAAUGUAUAUAUGUUAUAUUAAUACUAAUAUUUUUUUCCAACAUCACAUUAAGAGUUAUAAGCUUACAAUACUUUCUACAAGUAUAUCAUAAGAAAGAGGCUGAAGAAAUUAUAUUGUUGGUCAAAUCGAUGCAAAAGUUGAAGUCGGAGUCAUCAUCGCUUCUUGACGGUGAUAACCACCGUAGUCACCGGGACCAAGGUCUACCACUGUUAUCUCUGUAGUUCUCAGGUACGUCUAUCUCUCCUUUCUCAUCGUCGUCCAGUCAAGUGUGUACGUUGUUUUAGAAGCUGCUUCUUUUUCCUUUCUACCACAUGUCUUUUCUUGCACCAUACUUGAAUUCAGGUCUAAAACAAUAUACAAAUACAUCUUUGUGGAAGAAAGGAAGAAAGAGAAAGAGAAAGGACGUGUCUCCGCUUAAUUGGUUUUGAGCAAGCUUUCUGGUGAUUGAACUCCAAAUGCUACUAAGGAAGAAAAAGUGGAAUGAUUUGCUUGUGGAUCACUACAAGGAGAAGAAUAGAGUAACCGAGAGAGAAUCUAAAUAGAUAAUGACCGAAAAGACUUGCAACUCAGAAGAUGAAGAGGAUGGUUGUGUUACUUAAUUUUCUAAAUACGUCAACAAUGUCACGAGAAGGCACGUAACUUUAUCCAAAUUUUUCUUUCUUUUGUUUUUUUCAAUUGCAAUGAUAUAAGAUGUUUUUUCAUUGAUAUCAUUGAUAACAUGUAAGCUAAUGAGUUUAAUUUUGUAGAUGACUAAACUAAGUGAUUGCUAUGUCGUUUUCCUUACGUUGUGCUGGAGACUUCGGGUAAACAAAAACGGGAAAGGUCUUUCAGAACAGGAACGUUUUGGUUGUCAACUUGCUGGAGGAUACCAAAGAUAAUACUUUUUGGUUGAUGAGGACUAGAGCCAAGAGAAAGCUUCUGACAUAGGACAAUUGGAAACACUUUGUUUUUUGUGUUGCUUUUAGUUUUCAUUUGUAUGUGUUGCUCCUUGCUAAGGUUCAGCUUUAUUGUUUGGCAAUAAAGUUCCGUUUUGUUGGUAAAAAAACGACUCAACUAAGUGAUGAAGAUCUAUCCCAUUGAGAUAUUGCUUUCUCAUAUAUUGGUGAGAUUUUAUAUGAUAUUUUGUUUUCACUGAUUUGUUGGAAAAGGAUUUGUGGUUAUGUAUAACUUUCCAAACAAGGAUCAUUUAUGUUUGAUUAAUUUGUGUUUCAUAUAUUGAAUAUCUUU